UCUGCUUUUGCCUGAAUGACGGUGAUCCUGAUGACCCUGAAUUCUGAAUAGUCCAGCACCUUCAUUCUUGUGCAGUUUUUGAAGCUCACUAUAGUCACUAGCAGAGAUCUUGUGAUACCAUCAGCAUUGUCAGGGAUCCGGUGCCAGCUGACGACCUUAAAGAUGAACGGGAAUGCUGACAGACCAUGCUCUUCAGGUAAUAUACACCUCCUUGGUUCCAGCCAUGUUAAAAUCCAUAAAAUAGUACCAGCUAUGACUCUAAAUACAUUCACCAGCUAAUAUGCACAUCACUGACAGCACUCAUGGAGAUCACAAUCUAGUUUACAUGUCAGGGGUUAUAUCAUUUUAUAUAUAGGGUGUAGUGCUUUUACUUUAGCUGACAGUGCACAUAAUACAAGCCUUGAGUGGCUUACUAUAUUAGUACUUAUUAAUUCCAGGUGUUUGUGUAGUUCAUUGCAAUACUCAGGAGAUGAUGCUGAUCUCACAGUUCAUUCAAAACAUUGUUAAAUGACACAUGAAGAUGAGGCUAAAAGGAAAAAAAGAAUCUAGAAAAUGAAAUAUUAAUACCAACAACCACAAAAAUAACCUGAAUCAAAUCAGUGAACAAACAUUUCGGUUUCAUUUUUAAUGUUUUUACAUUUUUCUUUUACAUUUGAACAUUACAAUAGCAUUCUUCCUUUGCUCCAUUCCUUUCAAUUGUUUAAAUAUCAUGUGUCUGGAUCUGUAAAUCUUUUCAACCGACAUUUAGUGCUUUUACCUCUGGCCAUCAGACUACAGCAAAUAAACAAAACAGUUUACAUCUGCAGCAGGAAAAAAGACAUUUACAGCAGAGUAUACAUAUCAGAUUCAUUUAACAUUAAAAAUCUGCAUUUUAUAUAUAUAUGCGUUUGACCUAAAACAGCUUUUCAACUUGAAAGAAAUCAGCAGCUCCGUGUUUGUCAACAAUUUUUUUUUUCAGUGUCUUCAACUGGCUGUAUAUUAAAAUACGUCAAUAUUUCAGAUAAAAGGUUCGCUAUGUCCUUGAAAUGAAAUCUUGAGCGCACCAGUAAUAGAUUGCUUUUCGUUUGGCUUCUUCUCGACCUGCGUUCUGGAUGCCAGCGGCAGAAAAAUAAAAGCAACAUUCACUGAACAAUUUUUCAUACAUCAAAUCUCUGUAAGGUCACUCGUGACAGCUAGCAUGUGCAAAGAGAAAACGGUGCUUCUUUUUGUACAGUGCAAAGCUUCCUCCAUACACUUGAUCUGCUCUGAAUAAAUUCAAUCUCACAGGACUGAAGUAUGAUCGAAAUAAUUGACACAUGAAAAAUGUUUGCCACCUUCAGCCAAAAAAGAAAUAAACUUCUUGUUCACGUACAGUCCACAACAGGUUCCAAAAUCAAGAGGAACGUCCUCUAUUAGACAACAACAACAGACAACAUAGUAGGUCUUUUUUUUUGGAGUAUAAAAGUGUCAGAAUGUGCAGAACACAGGAAAAGUCGUUUCGUUGAUCACCACACACAGUGUGCUUUGGACGAGAGUGGUGUUUUUGAAACUCCACGGUGAACGACGAAAGUUUCCGCUCAUGUUAUCAUGUGCGUGAGUAUGCUGGUAUUACACCUGUAAAA